GAAGGGUGCAAGCGUUAAUCGGAAUUACUGGGCGUAAAGCGCGCGUAGGUGGUUUGGUAAGAUGGAUGUGAAAUCCCCGGGCUCAACCUGGGAACUGCAUCCAUAACUGCCUGACUAGAGUACGGUAGAGGGUGGUGGAAUUUCCUGUGUAGCGGUGAAAUGCGUAGAUAUAGGAAGGAACACCAGUGGCGAAGGCGACCACCUGGACUGAUACUGACACUGAGGUGCGAAAGCGUGGGGAGCAAAC
rnacentral:rRNA from 1 species